ACUCCUACGGGAGGCAGCAGUAGGGAAUCUUCCACAAUGGGCGCAAGCCUGAUGGAGCAACACCGCGUGAGUGAAGAAGGGUUUCGGCUCGUAAAGCUCUGUUGUUAAAGAAGAACACGUAUGAGAGUAACUGUUCAUACGUUGACGGUAUUUAACCAGAAAGUCACGGCUAACUACGUGCCAGCAGCCGCGGUAAUACGUAGGUGGCAAGCGUUAUCCGGAUUUAUUGGGCGUAAAGAGAGUGCAGGCGGUUUUCUAAGUCUGAUGUGAAAGCCUUCGGCUUAACCGGAGAAGUGCAUCGGAAACUGGAUAACUUGAGUGCAGAAGAGGGUAGUGGAACUCCAUGUGUAGCGGUGGAAUGCGUAGAUAUAUGGAAGAACACCAGUGGCGAAGGCGGCUACCUGGUCUGCAACUGACGCUGAGACUCGAAAGCAUGGGUAGCGAACAGGAUUAGAUA
rnacentral:rRNA from 1 species